rnacentral:rRNA from 1 species
UACGUAGGGUGCAAGCGUUAAUCGGAAUUACUGGGCGUAAAGCGUGCGCAGGCGGUUUUGUAAGUCUGAUGUGAAAUCCCCGGGCUCAACCUGGGAACUGCAUCUGUGACUGCAUCGCUGGAGUGCGGCAGAGGGGGAUGGAAUUCCGCGUGUAGCAGUGAAAUGCGUAGAUAUGCGGAGGAACACCGAUGGCGAAGGCAAUCCCCUGGGCCUGCACUGACGCUCAUGUACGAAAGCGUGGGGAGCAAACAGG